rnacentral:lncRNA from 1 species
UCAGAUUAGUCGUAUCCUCCACAACAAAAAAGAGAACCCUAGAGCAAAGAAAAAGAAAAAAGAAGAAAAAAAAAGAGUUGUGCCGCAACAUUUGAAAGAAAAAAUCGCAGCAGCAGCUGCUGCCUUCUUCUUCCUUCAUAAACAACCUCCCUUAGCUCGAAAACCUCAACAAACCACCCAAACCCAGCUGAAACAACAUCAAAAUCCCUCCCUUUCACCCCCAAAAUCCAGCCCGAAAAAUAGCCCCCAAUACCAUCGAAAACCAACUCAAAUCAGCUGUAAAACCAACUGAAAAUCAGCUGCGAAACCGGCUGAAAAAUUAUCUCAAAACCAGACCAAAAUGUAGCAAAAAGCCAUCUCAAAACAACCCCAAAACAUCACCUCCUAAAACUCCAUUGAAACCAACCAAGAAUUAGCUCUAAAACCCAGCAAAAAUAGCUCUGUUUCCCAGUGAAAAUCAGCUGCAAAAUUGUCCUAAAAAUCAGCCUUCCACCUCCAAACACCACCGCUAAAGUUGUUGGAUCGGAUUGAGGUUAUUUGGGUCAAGUUGAGGUCCAUGUUGUGGCUCUCGGGUCGAGGUUUUGUUCGCAAUUCUGGUGUUAUCGCCGAAUUCCGUUUCUGCUAGCUGAACAACUAUUUUUGUUGAAUAAGAUCUUGCUCAAUUAAAGGUUCAUCCUCUACUCUACUAUUUCUAUUAGGCCACCCACUUGCUCUUAUUUGUCAUAUACUAUUUGAGAUGUCUCUGUUAGAAAUGAGUAUUUUAUCAUCAUGCGAUUGUUUGGUGAUUCGAUUACGUUGCUUGAAUUGGUGAGAUCUCGUUUCAUUAUUAUUGUUUGAACUUAAUGCGACUAUGUAUUGAUAAUAUUUUAAUUGUUAUAGUAAGUUAUUAUUAAAACGUUUCAUUAUAGGUGUUUUGGAUUUUAACAGUGAUAUUCUAAUGUUAAGGGAUUUGUGGCUAGGUGGGAUUCUGGCCAUUUGAUUUUCAAUGGAGAGUCGAUUUUGGACCAAAAAAUUUAAAGAGUUUUGAGUUUAAAAUAUUUUUCCAUACAUUAUUUUUCUACAUAGUCACGUUAGUAAACAUUAGGAAUAAAACUAUGAGGUGUAACAUUAACUCCAAUUUUUAGCAUAUUUUUUUCAAUAAAUUCUUGUCAACUAAAUCACACCGUCUCUCCAUAAUAUGGAUUGUGUACACGUUCGCGUGACAUGAUUUUAACGCCCAAAUAAAACGGGUUUACACACAUGCAGUUCGCUUCACAGAUAAAUCCAUAACUAAGUAAUUAAAAGUAGUAAAAAGUUAAAAUGUACAUAGGUUCUAAAAUAAGUAAUUAAAAAAUUUAAUUAAGCCAGGUAUGAUUAAAGCAGACCAUAAAUAGAGUCAAAUUUUCUCGACUUGGGAUUUAAAAUAAAUCGGUGACUUGGGACACCAUAAAAUUAUUCAAAGUGGCGACUCUGAAAUAAAAUAGAUAAUUCCAUAUCGAAUAAUAUCACUUAAAUUGGAAAAAAACUCCCUUAUAUCCCCUACGGGUAAAAAGGAGGUGUGACACCAGAUUCAGUAAAAUUCUUGGAGAUCUCAAAUCAUUUGAAAGACCAAUUAAAAGUGGCGAACAAGUUAGAAAGAUCCUUAGAAGCUUGCCUACAAUUUGGCAACCAAGGGUCAUUGCUUUGGAAUGUCAAGAUCUGGAUAAAAUUUCCUAUGAUGAGCUCAGAGGUGAUCUGAUUGCUUUUGAGAAAACUCAUCUUGAUAGAAAAUUCAAGAGAAGAAAAAAAUUGUUGCUUUCAAAGCAACUGUGGCUGAACCAGAAAUUGAAGAUGAAGAAGAAGGAGGAGAACAAGGUGAAAACAUAAUGCUCUCUCAAGUCGUGACCAGCAUGAUGAGACGAAACAUAAACAACAGAAGAGGUAAGUCUAACUUCAGGAAAGGAAGAGCGAGCAAUGAAGCUAAGAAAAAUGAUGAAAGAUGUUACGAAUAUGGAAAGUUCGGUCAUAUUCAAGUUGAAUGUCCGAAAUUAAAGAAGAAACUUAGCAGAAAAAUGCAAAAGAUGAAAGCCUUUGGAGCAUGGAGUAAUGAGGAAGAAUCUAAUCAUGAGGAAAUUGCUAACAUGCGCUUCAUGGCUCUAAGUGACAAUGAAGAAGCAGGGGAACUUGGGCUAAUGACAGACAUCAACGAUGAGAAAGACGACUCAAGAGAACCUCUUUCAAUGUCAGAUGAGGAACUAGUGAACUACGUACUCCUUUAUACCCUAAUUGUCAUGAACUUCAAGAAUUUGUUAAUAUUGCCCUUGCAGAUAUAGAAAGAGUAGUAAAUGAGCUCAGAAAAGUCAAGAGAGAAGAGAGACUGGGCCCUAAAACUAGAAGUAUGCAAAAUUGAACGCGAUAUAUUUCAAGAAAAAGUAAAUGAACUCAAGGUUCAAUUGAAUGGAUUGCAAAGGACCUCAAAUCACAGUUCAGUCAAGUCUCAACAGACUGUUCAUCAGAAAAAGAAAAUGGCUUGUUCCUUUUGUGGAAAAAAUGGCCAUAACACUAAUAAUCGCAGGAACAGAAUUAGAGCUAAGAGUAGUUUUGAUAACUCUAACAACUUAUCUUGCUUCUACUGUGGCAAAAGAGGUCAUACCUCAAAUUAUUGCAGGUUCAAAAAUAACAAAAGAUGGGUCUGGAGACCAAAAUCUUCAAAUCAAACUAACACUCAGAAGUCUAACCAUUCAGGACCCAAGCAGGCUUGGGUACCUAAAAAUAAGUAAUCUUGUUUUGCAAGAACACUGCAAGAAAAAUAGAAAAGGAAAAUGGUAUCUCGGCAACACGUGUUCCAGACAUAUGACGAGUGACAAAUAAUUGUUCAAAUCAGUCACCAAGAUAGAUGGAGGAAUAGUUACAUUUGGUGACAAAUCCAAAGAAAAUGUUACUGGUGUUGGAAAAGUUCCUUUAAGCUCAACAUGUGAUGUAGAUGGAGUCUACUUAGUUGAUUAACUUGGCUAUAACCUUCUCAGUAUCAGUCAAUUGUGUGAUAAUGAUUAUGAGGUUCAUUUUAAGAAACAUGGAUGGUUUAUAGAAGACGAAUCAGGUAAUAUCAUUCUCUCAAGAAAUAGGAACAGAAAUGUCUAUACUAUCAAAAACUUAGAAAACUUUGGGGAUCAAAUUUGCCUUACUUCUAUUAUUGAAGAUCCCUAGGUUUGGCAUAGAAAACUUGGCCAUACAAGCAUGAAUACUAUUCAAAAAAAUUUCAAACAUGAUCUUGUUAUUGGUCUUCCAAAACUAAAUUUUUUAAAAGAUCAUAUAUGUGAUGCAUGUCAAUUAGGGAAACAAGCACGAUCCUCUUUCAAAGUCAAAAACAUUGUUUCUACCUCUAAACCUCUUCAAUUGCUGCAUAUGAAUUUAUUUGGUCCUACUAGAACUGCUAGUAUAGGAGGUAAGAAAUAUGUUUUUGUUAUUGUAGAUGAUUUCUCUAGAUUUACAUGUGUUAUGUUUCUUAGUCAUAAAGAUGAUGCUCUAAAGAAUUUUGAAGUUUUCUGUAAGAAGGUUCAACGAGAAAAAGGAUACUAUAUCUCCACCAUCAGAAGUGACCAUGGAGGAAAAUUUGAAAGCAGAACUUUUGAAAAUUUUGCAAUGAUCAAGGAAUCUCUCAUAACUUCUCAUCGCCAAGAUCCCCUCAACAAAAUGGAGUAAUAGAACGUAAAAACAGAACCUUGCAGGAUAUGGCAAGAAGUAUGAUCGUGGAAAACUCUCUACCUCAUAAUUUCAAGGCAGAAGCUGUAAGUACAACAUGUUAUAUCAUUAACAGAUGUCUUAUUCGGCCAAUUCUUAAAAAGACUCCCUAUGAACUGUGGAACGGUAAGAAACCAAACAUUAGUUAUUUCCACCCUUUCAGAUGCAAAUAUUUCAUUCAUAACAAUGGAAAGGAUAAUUUGGGUAAGUUUGAUCGAAAGAGUGAUGAAGGUAUAUUUUUGGGUUACUCUCCCUCAAAUAGAGCUUACAGAGUUUACAACAAGAGAACCUUAUGUAUUGAAGAAUUUAUUCAUGUUAUUUUUGUUGAUACUAACCCUCGCCCAAAGAAUGAACAUAUCCUGAAGAUGAGGAAAUUUCUUGUGCUACAAAAUCUGUUCUUGUAGGUAAGGAUCAUCAAAAUGAGUCAACUAAUCUACAAAAUCAACCAGCUGAAAUUCCUCCAGAAGAAUGUGACUUACCUCAACCAGAUCAGUCGACUAUCGAAGAAAAUGUGACUUCAGCAAAUACUCCAAAUGAAUGGAAGAUUGAACCAGGAUAUCCUCAUAAGUUCAUUAUAGGAGAUCCACAGGAGGGAAUAACUACAAGGAGAUCUCAAAAGAACAAAUCUCAUGUAUCUCUCAUUUCUCAAAUUGAGCCCAAGAAAGUGGAUGAAGCUUUAAAGGAUUCUCAUUGGAUUGAUACUAUGAAAGAAGAAUUAGAUCAAUUUGAGUGAAACAAAGUCUGGAAACUUGUUCCAAAGCCUCAAAAUUCAUCUGUCAUUGGAACUAAGUGGGUUUUCAGAAAUAAAUUGAAUUAAUCAGGUCAAGUUGUUCGGAAUAAAACAAGACUGGUGGCUCAAGGUUACUCUCAAUAGGAAGGAAUCGACUAUGAUGAAACAUUUGCACCUGUAGCAAGAUUUGGAUCCAUCCGAAUUCUACUUGCUUUCGCUGCUCACAAAGGAUUGAAAUUAUUUCAAAUGGAUGUUAAAAGUACGUUCCUAAAUAUCUAUAUCUUUGAAGAAUUAUACGUGAACCAACCUCCUGGCUUUGCAAAUACCAAUUUUUCAAACCAUAUAUACAAGCUGACUAAAGCCCCGUAUGGUCUCAAACAAGCUCCACGAGCAUGAUAUGAAAGGUUGAGCUCUUUUCUUCUAAAUCAAGGUUUCAAACGAGGUAACAUCGAUACAACUCUUUUUAUUAAGCAAUCCAAUUCAGGUAAUCUUAUUACUCAAAUUUAUGUAGAUGACAUUAUCUUUGGUAGCCCUAACUUAGUUCUUUGUGAAGAAUUUGCACUUUCCAUGAAAGGUAAAUUUGAAAUGAGCAUGAUGGUAGAACUGACAUUCUUCCUUGGACUUCAAAUCAAGCAAUCCCCUAAAUGAAUUUUCAUAAGCCAAACCAAGUAUACCAAGGAGCUCAUUAAGAAAUUUGGGAUGGAAAAUGAUAAAGCUAUUAGCACUCCAAUGAGUCCAACUACCGUGCUAGAUGAAGACAGCAAUGGAAAAAUGGUUCAUGAAACCAUUUAUAGAGGGAUGAUUGAAUCUUUACUUUAUAUAACUACUAGUCGAUCAGAUAUUAUGUUUAGUAUUUGUAAUUGUGCUAGAUUUCAUUUGGCUCCUAAGGAAUCCCAUCUUACCGCUGUUAAACGCAUUAUUAGAUAUUUAAUUGGUACUCCUGAGUUCAGAUUAUGGUAUGAUCACUCUAACAAUUUCUCUCUGAGAGGCUUUUCAGAUGUUGAUUUUGCAGGAGACAAGAUUGAUAUGAAGAGUACCAGCGGGACAUGUCAAUUGCUAGGAAAUUAUUAGUAUCUUGGCAUAGCAAGAAAUAAAAUUGUGUUGUGCUAUCAACUACUGAGGCAGAAUACCUAGCUGUUGGAAGCUGUUGUACACAAGUCCUAUGGAUCAUGCACCAACUUCUUGAUUAUGAUUUUCUCUUACUUCUACUCCUAUUUUUUGUGACAAUACUAGUGCUAUCUACUUAUCUAAAAAUUCUGUGCAACAUUCUAGAGCAAAAUAUAUAGAAAUUAAAUAUUAUUUUAUUCGUGAUCAUGUAGCAAAAGGUGAUAUUACUUUAGAAUUCAUUAGUACUGAUUCUUAACUUGCUGAUAUUUUUACAAAACUGCUUUUGGAAGAAAGAUUCCGCACUUUUCAAAAAAGAUUGGCAUUGUGCCAAAUUUGUAAAUUAAAUAUUUCCUUAAGUAUUCAAAUUAUUUUACAUGCUUUCAGAAUAUUUUUUUCCUUAAUUAUAUGUGUUCUAAUUAAUUUUCUGUGUAAGUGCAAUUAUUACAUGUACCGCCGAUUAGUCACUUCUGAACCUACACUUUUGUCUGCACUUAACCCUUCCAGUAACCAAGAUGCCUCUUCACUCCUCUAAAUCUCAUCAAUAAAAACUCUCCAUCUCCAACACUUCUCUCAUUCACUACCAACCAACUCCUCUCACUAUGGCCAAAAGAAAUCCCUCCUCUACAACCAGACACAGUCGAAGGUUUCAAAAACCUCUCAACACUGAAGAACCUGUGGAUGUGGAGUCAUCCAUUGACUCAGAUUUUCUCAGAACUGACAACGAUAACAAUGCCUUAUCUAAAAAUUAUCCUAUCAGCCAGAAAAAGGAUGGCAAGAGGCCCAUGGAGCAAACCCCCAAAAAGGCUGUAUGCAAGAAGGGCAAGGUUUAAUAUUUGGAGUUUGGUCUUGAAGACAAGCUAAUCUUCUAUGGCCCUAGUGAAAAGGUGAGGUUUUAGUCCUACAAGUCAAAAUCCAUGGCUUAUGGAUGCUCUGCAAGUCUUUAUCUUAUGAAAAGCCUUCAUUGUGAUGUGACUACAAUUUUCGAUUUUCAACACCUUUCCCAUUUAUUUGACGCUCUUGGAAAUACUGUGUAUGAAGAACCUAUGCGAAUGUUUUAUGCAAAUCUGUUUGUGUAUAUGAUUUGGAAUCUAUGGUUUUAGGGACUAGAAUUGUUUUGGGCUCCUACCAAUUUGAAAAGAUCUUUUCCGCAAAGUUUAGUGGGGAUGAUGAGUUUGUCCAAAAUUCUUAGCCCAAAGACUUUGAAGUGUCCUUUAAUAAAGCAAAAAGUUUUCUGUCUGAUAACCCCCUUGACAUUGGCCCCAAAAAUCUUAAGUUUGAACACCGUGUCUUGGCCCAUAUGAUUGCCACCACUCUCCUUCCCAGAUCUGGGUCCCUUAGUUCCUUGUCCAUUAGAGAUGUUUUUAUCCUCUAUUGUCUGGUUAAUAGUAAGCGACUUGACUGGUUUGUGUGGAUUCGUCAAUAUAUGCUUGAGAGUAUAAGGGAUAUUUCCUCUUCUGAUGCAUGUCUACCCUAUGGUCUUCUUAUCUCUCAUAUUCUGGAAGUUAUGAAAGUAGACUUGACACCCUUUUCAUCCAAGCACAUCUCCAGUACUUAUGAUAAGACUGCUUUUUCUAUGAUAGGGUACACUCUGGGUAAUGAUGGAUGGUUUAAGAGAUCCAAGGUUGAAAGUGCUCCAACUCCUGUUGAUAGCCCGAUUGAUCAACCAGCUUCUCAGUCGACUACCUCCCUGAAUCUUCAACAAAUUCAACACUACCUUGAUAGAGUCAAGCUGCUGCUUAUGGAUAUGAAAGAACAGGCAGGUAGACAAGAUCAAGGAUGUCAUGAAGGAGACAGGUACAGAUGUGGACAAGCUUCAUAUUGACAUAGGAGCUACAAGGAGACAAGGAACCAAGGCUUCAAUUCCAUGAGUGAAAAGAUGGACAAACUCGUCAAGGAUGUUGAGAAUUCACAUGACUCCUUCUGCACCAAAGUGAUCAACACCCUCAAAUACUUUCUGGGACGAAGUUAAUUUCUCUGAUUGUGCUGUUAUGACAAAAAAUUUCUUUUUGCUUAUGUUUUUUGUUGGUAGUUGCUUUUAAACAAUUCUUUUUUUGGACUGUACUAUCUAAGCCUCUACUGAAGGCUCUAACCGCCUUAUCUUAUCAGUAUGUGAAUUAUGUUCUAUUUUUCUCUUUGUAUGUCUCUUUACUUUUUGAUUGAUGUCAAGGGGGAGAAAAAUGUGAGUAAACAACUUAGGAGGGAAUAUAGGAACAACAUAAUCUCAAGGGAAGCAUCAGCUCAGGGGGAGCAACUCCUUAAAAGGGAAGUAUUUUAAUUUACUUUACUUUGUUUACUUAUUCUUGAUUGUCAUCAUCAAAAAGGGGGAGAUUGAUAGGUUUAAGUUUAAGUUUAAAUGAUGACAAUGUUAUCUUAUGUUAUAUUUACAGGACAAACAAAAAGGAAAGAAUGAAGAUGCUUAGCAAGAUUGCUAUUGGAUUCAAAAUAGCAAGUAAGGAAAGAAUGAAGAUGCUAUUACUGCAUUGAUGAUCAAUCAAAAAAAGCAGAUUGACUCGUCCUCAAUUAAGGGAACUCAGAUUGCCAAUUAUGGAUCCUCUAAUUAAGAAGAUCGCGCUCGUGAAUUAAACUCUCCAAGCGUAAAUGUCUCAUUGAAUUCAGCUGUGACAAGGAAGGUCACAUUCGAAUAUGGGCUAGUCAAAGAGCAAUAUUUGAAGAAGCACCCUUUGGGUCAAAUCCCUUAAUUAAAGAUCUUAUGCAUCUGAUGUCGCAAAAGACUCAACGGCUCUUUUCUCUCCUAUAAGAAGGUUAAUCUCUCAAGAAGAAGAUUGCGCAACUACACAGUACACACAUUGUAUUCUAAGUCUAUCUACUUCUUAGUUCAAACACUAUACUCCUUAGUUAUCAAUGUCUCAAAAGAUAGGGAGAUCUAGAACACAAAAGAGAGUUGUGUCAACUAUUCUGAACUUAAGUGUUGAUACUGCUCGUUGGUGGUGAACGCGGUAAAACCUUUUGUAUUGUAACUUAUUCAAAGAUCUUAAGAUAACUCUUGUGACCCAAGAGAAACUGGAUGUAAGUACCACAACAGUACCGAACCAGUAUAAAUCGCUAUGUGUUAUUUACUGCAAUGACCUGACUGGUCAUUUCAUGAGUUACACUCUCGUUCUCCUUAUUUCAACUUCUUUGUAUGUUGUUCAGAUAUAUUUCAUCAUAUUGUAUUGGUUGUUCUGUGUUCGGAAUGGUCAUAGAGUGAAAUGAGACACUUAGUCUCUUAUUUGGAAGUUUAAGUUGGAAAAGUCAACCAGAUGUUGACUUAUAUGUAGAAGUUCUCGGAUGUGAAUUCUGAUGGUUCAGAUAGCUUCGUUAAGUGAUUUUCGACUUAAGAGCGUGUUCAGAAAGUAAUUUGGAGGUCCGUGGUAGAUUAGGCUUGAAUUGGCGAAAUUGGAAUUUUAGCAUUUUUCGGUCGGCAGUGAAAAUCUUGAUACCGGAGUCAGAAUGGAAUUUUAAAAAUUGGAGUAGGUCCGCUGUGUUAUUUGUGACGCGUGUGCAAAAUUUUAGGUCAUUCAGAUGAGGUUUGAUAGGUUUUUGGAUCGGUUGUGGAAUUCGGAAGUUUGGAAAUCUUUAGGCUUGAAUCCGAUGGUGAUUUGGUGUUUCAACGUUGUUUUAAGUGUUCCGAGGGUUGUUAUGAGUUUGAAUGAUGAUAUGUGACUUGUUGGUAGGUUUGAUUGAGGUCCCGAGGGCCUCGGGAUGAUUUCAACGGGUUAUCGGAGAGUCGAAAAAGUGGAGUUGCAGCUGAAGCGGCUGUUUUCUAUCAUAACCGCAACUACGGAUUGGGGACCGCAGGUGCGAGCCGAAAAAGUGGAGAGAAGAACACAGAAGUGACAUUGGUCGCAGGAGCAGAGGACUGGACCGCAGGUGCGAGACCUGGGUCGCAGGUGCGGUGUUUGAGGAGUUAAGUGAAUUCUGCAGGGUGCGGAUUUUUAGGCGCAGAAGCAGCCUGCAGGUGCGAAAUAUUGUCCGCAGAUGCAGAAAUCACUGGGCAGAAAGUUUAAAAGGCCCUCUUCACAAAUUUUAGUCAUUCUUCCACCAUUUUUGGCCGAUUUUGGAGCUCCAAGCUGUGAUUUCAAGAGGGAAUCAAGUGUAUUUGGAGAGGUAAGCUACUUGGGCUUUGUAUCUUGUGUUUAUAGUGAUUGUUCCAUUGGUAAUCAUGAAAUUUGGGGGGGGGGGGGGAGAAUUUGAGAAGAAAUUGGGAAAUUAGGGCUUGAAAUUGGAGAGUUUAAAUUAGAAAUUUGAGGGGCCAUUUGGGGUCCGAUUUGGAUGAUUUUGGUAUGUAUAGACUCGUGGGAGGAUAAGGAUUCUAGUGAUGUGAUUUUUAUCAAAUUUCGAGACAUGGGCCAGGGGUCGGAUUUGACCUAUUUUGGGUUUUUUGAGUUAAUUUGAUAAUUUUUGCAUGAGCUUUGUUUCUUUGGCAUGUAUUGAUGUUAUGAUUAUAAUUUUGGAUAGAUUCGGGGCGAUUUGAGGCCGAGUCGAGAGGCAAGGUCAUUGCGGAGUAGAUUUUUGUCCGGAUCGAGGUAUUAACGAUUGUAAAUCUAGACUUGUGGGUAUGAAACCGCAGAAUUUUGUACUAUUUUGAUAAAUAAGGUGACACCCAUGCUAGGUGAUGGCGUGUGGGCGUGCACCCGUAGGGAUUGCGACUUGGUCCGUCCCGUGGCAACUGUAGAGUUGCACAUUUUGAUAAACUCUAUAUGAAAUCUAUGUGUUUAGAAAUAAUUCUGUUAACUUGGGAUUAAUGCCAUAUUUGGGGCCUUGUGCCGUACUAUUUGGACCCUCAGGGGUAUUUUACUACUAUCCUCACACUGUUUUGAUUCGAAAGCAUAUCCGCAGUCAUGAUUUUUACUUGUUUAUCGUUUGAUUUAGUUUCAUUACUCUACUUUUAAAUAUAUGAAAGUUGUUUGGGCUGAGUUCCCUGAUUUUUUACUGAAAGUCCUGAGUGGCUGUGAGAUUGAUGACUGAGAGAGAGGCCGAGGGCCUGAUGGUGAGGAUUAUAUAUUUAUGGAUUGGGCUGCACGCCGCAGCGAUAUGUUGGGUCGGGCUACAUGACGCAGUGAUAUAGCGCUUGGGCUGUAGGAGCCCCUCCGGAGUCUGCACACCCUCAGUGAGCGCAGUCGACUAUAUAUAAUUACGAAUGGGGUUGCACACCUCAGUGGUUAUUAUUAUGAGAUAUCUAUUGAGCGGAAGUGCUGAUUGACGAGAGUUGAGUCACGAGUGACUGAGAGGCUUGCCCGAGGGGCUAUAUAUAUGAGUGAUACUUUGCCCGAGGGGCUUGUUUAUGAAAUUACUGUUUUUACUCUUCUUUUAUCCUGAGACUCUAUUGAAAAAUAUUGGACAAAUAUUUUAAAUAACUUUCAUUGAAACUGGAGUUUUUACGAGAUGUUCGGAAAUUGAAAUACGAAUCUGAAUUUGUUAUUUCUAUUGAGAUUCUAUGUUAGACUAUGUAUAUGAUUUAAAUGCUCGUCACUGUACUCAACCUUUAUUUACUUUGGUUACUUAUUGAGUUGGCGUACUCACGUUACUCCCCGCACCCUAUGUGCAGAUCCAGGUGCUAGAGCAUCCGGGUGAGAGCAUCCAACAGCUUCUGAGUAUUUUUUUGGAGAUAGCAAGGUAGAUGCACGACGUCCGCAGCCCUGUCUUUCUCCUUCCUAUCCUUAGUAUUAUAUAUUUCAGUCUUAUCUUGUAUUGAG